rnacentral:rRNA from 1 species
GACGAACGCUGGCGGCGUGCUUAACACAUGCAAGUCGAACGGAAAGGCCCUGCUUUUGUGGGGUGCUCGAGUGGCGAACGGGUGAGUAACACGUGAGUAACCUGCCCUUGACUUUGGGAUAACUUCAGGAAACUGGGGCUAAUACCGGAUAGGAGCUCCUGCUGCAUGGUGGGGGUUGGAAAGUUUCGGCGGUUGGGGAUGGACUCGCGGCUUAUCAGCUUGUUGGUGGGGUAGUGGCUUACCAAGGCUUUGACGGGUAGCCGGCCUGAGAGGGUGACCGGCCACAUUGGGACUGAGAUACGGCCCAGACUCCUACGGGAGGCAGCAGUGGGGAAUAUUGCACAAUGGGCGGAAGCCUGAUGCAGCAACGCCGCGUGCGGGAUGACGGCCUUCGGGUUGUAAACCGCUUUCGCCUGUGACGAAGCGUGAGUGACGGGAAUGGGUAAAGAAGCACCGGCUAACUACG